rnacentral:misc_RNA from 1 species
UGGUUUCUUGUUUUUGUCGUCAUGGUAACGCUUCUGUGGUGGUGUAAUGGAGGAGGGAGCUGUAUAUUGCACACCGACGCUGCCAUCGAAAAAGAAAAGGCGCGCACAAGAAAAGCUGCUGCGUUCACCUGUGGCGUGUGCGCUCCUGCCAGCCAUUAGCCUGCUGGCAGUGCCAGGAGCCAGCCUGGAGCCGGCCCACCCAAGCAUGUCGGGGCCCUCACCUGGCAAGACCCCCCGCUUUCCUAUCGCUGUGGAUAUUCCUGUUCCACCAGAGCGACGAACAUCAGCCAUCAAUAUUGUCACUAACCCCAGCUUUGACGGCGGCUUGGAACAGGCCCCAGAAGAAGCUCUCUACUCCACAAUUCAGCCAAAGCACGAGUGUGGAUCUAGUCCUGGAACACCACCUCCCCCGCUGCCUCCAAAACAGCUUGAGGUUCUCUACACUAAGCCUAUUAAGCCUAAGAAAUCCAAAUCGAGGGAAGGGUCCCGAGGCUCGAAGGAUUUUGGAGAUGGAAAAGAUGGCCCUCAGCUCUGGAAGCUGCACAUAUCGCAAGAGAGCCCCCCAAAGCCUUCACAGAGCUCCUCUGGGUGCAACUGUCAGCAACUGGCAUCACUGCUGCAAGACAACUAUGCUAUGAAACAUGAACUACUAACAUAUAAGGAUCGGAUAAAAUCCCUUACUACUAAACUAAAACAGUUUGAAGGAAUAUCGGAAGUCAUGAAGGAACUUCAACAGAAUGUUGAAAGAGUGUCAGAAGAAAAUAAAAGGCUCAAGCAGUAUGAAAAAUGCAUUACAGAGGCCAAGACUACAGAACAAGAGAAGCAUGACCUUUUUGAACAGCUCAAAGAUGCACAGUCACAGUACAAGUAUGAUGUGGACCAUCUGAGCCAGCAGGUGAGUCAGCUGGAGCGUGAGAAGCAAGAGCUGGAAGGGGCCCUAGCCAAGUUACAGCAGGAGCAUGACCAGCUGCUCAUCUCCACCCAGAACUCUGUCUCCUUCCAGUUCCACACAACAGCCAUGCUUGAGGUCAAGAGGCUUCUAGAAGAGCUCAAACAAAAGUACCAAAAUGACAAGGAAAAUCUCACACAUAAGGUCCAGCUGGCCGAACAAGAACGGCAGGAGCUGAAACAGCAGCUGGUACAGCUGGAAGAAGAAGUGGGAUGGCUGCGAAGUGAUCAUAGUGCUCUCUCAGGCGCCUACCGCCGAGCUGUUCGCCAAAACCACACAUUAGUCACCCAUCUCCGUGAACUUCAGGAUGAUGACUCUGAGAUGCACUCACUGCUGUCAUCACUUCUUGUCACUGAAUGAUGUUUUCGAAAACCAUGCUGAAAGGAAGGAAAAAACAGGCUCACCAAGUAGUUUCUGAACGUGACAGCUUAGAAAUAAAGAACGAGGAAAAGGAAAAAGAGUGCCAACGCAUGUUGGAACUUCUUGGACAGCAUAAUGUGGAUAUAGAUCAGUUGAACAAAUAUCUCAAG